GCGGGGGCCUGCGGGGGACUUGCAAGGGGCGGGGGGCUGCGGGGGCGGGGCAGACCUCCAGCCGGCUCUCCGCAAACCUCGCUUCUAGCCUUGUCUUCCUGCGCCCAUUCUGGACACCCGGGCCCAGCUCUGAGUUCUUGUUUUAACACCUACUAUGCGCCAGGCCCCCCGUCGGAGGAGUCCUAGUUAGCCUUAUUAAUAAGGGUUAGAUAAUGUCCAGGCGCUCGAUAUGCAUCAGCUCGUUAAAGUUUCACAGCCUCUCCAUCAUCAUCUCCAUUUUACAUGUGAGGAAACUGAGGCGAGGAGAUGUGAAGAAAUAGGAGGGAGGGUUUCCAGGGAUGAGUAAGAGAAGAUGUCAGCCUUGAGGAGCUGUCAGUUCUAUUAUGGGCGAUUAGUGAAGGCCGACUCUCUGCCAGGUGCUGAGCACGGCAUCUUUCACCCAUUACGUGCUUGAGGAAAUUAAGGCUCGGACGCCUGCAGUAAUUUAUGCAGGGGCACUCUGCUAGGAGGGGCUGAGCUGACGCUCCAAACCUCCACUGUCCAGUCUGGUGGCCAAACAACCACCUGGAGAAAACUGUAAAGGAGGCACAGGCAGAAGGUUCGAGAACUCAGAGAUGGGGAAAUGUGGUCUUCGGGAAAAUCAGGGGCGGCAUCAAGGAGGAAGGGAAAGGUAAGCAGCCACUGAGAGGCUGAGAAUGGCUAGAGGUGGAGGUAGAGGAGGAGGGAGAGGGACGGAUGAAGCUAAAGGGAUGCCUGAGGGCUGGAACACCCAGGGCCUUGGAUUCUGAGCUCGGGCUCGUGAAUGUCAGCCUGCUGGCAGCCAGAGUCCAUGAGGGGAGUUUCUAAACAGGGGGUGAGCUAAGUCAGCCCUCACGGAGGAGGUGACGCUGAAGCAUGUGUUAGCAGCCGUGACAGCAGCUGUUGCUUAGGGAGUGGGAAGGUUUUAAGAGAAGUAGCAAAUGCUCCCAGAGAUGUGUACUUUUCCACUGAUCAUCUGGUGAGUAUCUCAGAGAGGUGGAUUUCAACUGAGUGUAGGAAAAUGCUUUUCUCCAAAGGGAGCUUUGAAGGCAGGUGGGUCAAAGUUCUGGGCAGCCUAAGCGGGAGGCCCAGCUCCACCCCUCGCUGCCUCUGCAGCCCUGGGCAGGUCCCUCCACCUGCUGGCUGCCUCAGUUACCUCAUCUACAAAAUUGGCAUGAUGGUAUGGUGGCUGUGAGCAUUAUAUGAUAUAGUGCUUCUAAAAUAUUUAGCGCAAUGUGGCAAAAUGUUAAUUAGUGAAUCUAGGCAAAGGGUGUUUGUUGUACGAUUCUUGCAACUUUUCUGUUGGUUUAAAUUUUUGCAAAAUAAAAAAGGUUGUGUGGGGUGGGGGGGAGACAGACAAUUCUCGCCUGCAUAGAACACUCAGAAACUGAUCCUAAUGGCGCCUCUGGGGAGGGGAGCUGAGUGGUUGAGAGGCGGCCUACUUUUAGUUUUCACUGUAAGCCCUUUUGUUCUUUUUAGAUUGGUAUUGUGUGUAUAUACAACUUGUAAAAUAAUUUUUUAAAGUCCUACCCAUGCCUCAAGGUCAAUGCAAAGGCCACUUCCCUUAAGAAAAAGCUUGGGAUGUUCUGCUCAGGUCGGUGGACACAUCCAGCAGCUGCCUUGAAUGGGAGGGCCCCACAACUGGGGGAUAAAGACGCGUUUGAUUCAGCCCUGCCUAGAAGGAGCUCAUACUCCAGCAAGUGGAGACAAAAAGAAACAGGAGGCGGACAAACAAAUCCAAUCCGGGGCGUGGUGAGGGUCCAGACAAGGGCAGCCGGCUCCUUAUGCAGCUUCAGGGACGGCUCCUUGGAGGAGGCAGUGGCUGAGCCGAGUUCUGAGCUGAACUCCCAGCCAGGAGAAGGUAGAGGGAAGGCAUUCCAGAUGGAAGGAGCAUGUGAGCAGAAGCUUGGGGCCUUGAAAGCAAAGGGUGCAUGAAUGCAAGCACCUCAGCAUGACUGGGUGGUACAGAGAGGGGGAGAGUAACGAGCAGUGAGAGUGACUGGGAGCCGCAAAUAGAUGGGGCGCCCGAGGGCACACGCUGUGGGAAUCCCAUCAUGACAGACUAAGGCUCAGCCUCUUCAGGGAGAUAGGUCAUGUUGUUUAUCAAUAUUAUUGUUAUUUUAUUUCCAUUUUACAGAAAACACACAUGAGCCUCAGGGCAUUUAAAGAACUUGCCUGUGGUCACAGUAUAGACCCUCUAUGUGAGGAUUCAAGCCCACACAGGCAAUACCAGAGCUGCCUGGUCAAUGGGGAACCAGUAAAUGGAUCUUUCAGAUUGAGCGCUUAAAUGAGGGCUAUUGGCCUGGAGAAUGACUCAGAGGUGGAGGACCGGAAACAUGAUCAACCGGGAAGCUACUGCAAUAGCCCAGAGCGUAGAGAAGCAGAAAGUUGGAGAUGUGCCAGCUAUCUACCAUUAGAGGAUCAGAUAAAUAAAUUAUGGUUCUUUGAUACUGGAGAGUGCCACCAAGCUGUUAAAGAAUGACAGUGUUGAAGUGGCCAGCUAUCUGCAAAGUAUGGUGAAGUUUAACACCCAGCAAUCCUAACACCCAUGAAUUUAUUCCAAGACAGCAAAAUGAAAGAGGUCCACGGACACUGUUCACCGAAUGUGCAGCGCCUGUUACAGAGGAGCGGCUUCAAAAAUAUUUGUUGGAUCUGAGAUUGAGCUACAGCAUCGUUCUUUGCAGCUUUGUUUGUAAAAGGAAAGACCAAAAGCAACAGACAUGGACGACCUUACGGUGCCAGCUAAAUAAACGACAGCAGAUCCAUAAAACAGAAUGAUGUCCUGUCGUUAAAAUCAGGUUGUAAUAACACUCGUAGAUGCCCCGCCCACCAAGAGGUGGGGCUUAAUCCUCCUCCCCUUGAGUGCGGCAUGGACUUUAUGGCUGGUAUCUAAAGGAUGGAGUGGAAGGGGGAAAAUAGUACUUUUACAGAGGAGAGACCCAGCAGACACUCCCUUCCCUUAACGUCAGCAGAGAUAAAUCGUGGAGAUGUCAGGUACUCCGCAGGAUGCAAUGAGAAGGGCACCUCACCUCUGUGGUCUUCUCCCUCAAAAACCGUACCCCAGUCUCAUCGUGAGAAAGACAUCACACAUACCUGAACUGAGGGGCAUUCUACAAAAUGCCUGAGAAGUCUUCUUCAAAACCGUCAAGGUCACGAAAAACAAGGGAAGACUCAGAAACUGUCGGGGACCAGAGGAGCCAAAGGAAGGGACUUAGACCGAAUGCCACGUGGCAUCCAAAAUGGAGUCCUGGAAUAUGAAAAAGACUUUUGUGGAAGAACUGGCAAAAUCCUAAUGAAGUGCAUAGUUUAGUUAAUAAUAUUUUACUGACGUUAAGUUUUCAGUUUUGGCAGAUAUAGCAUGGUUAUGCAAGACGUUAGCAUCCGGGGAAGCUGGGUGAAGAGUACACAGGAACUCCUGUGCUCUCUUGGCUAUAAACCUAGAAUCAGUCAAAAAUUUAAUAUUAUUUAAAAAAAAACAGAAUGUAGAUAUUUAUUAGCAUAGAAAUGUAUUCAUGAUAUGUUAAGGGGAAGUCUGUGUAUGGUGUCAUACAGUUUUUGCUGAAUGAGCCCAUUUUUGUAAAAAAAAAAUACUGAUAAGGUGUGUAUAUAUACAUGAAUGGAUAUACAUGCACAUAUACACACACACGCAGGAAAACAAAAGUCUAGGAAGACAUCCUUCCAGGAUUUCGGCCUCCAGGGCCCGGCAGGAGAGGACCGUAGUGGCCGUGGUGAGCCGGAGUGUUUACGGUCCUUCUAAAACAGGCAGCAGCUUCAUGGCCCCAGCCAGUUGCUGUCCUGCAGGACUUGGAACCAGUUCUGAUAGAUCAUCUCAUUUUCCAAAAGAAAUUGAAACCGAG
rnacentral:lncRNA from 1 species